rnacentral:lncRNA from 1 species
GGCAAGCGCAGGCGCUGGCUCCGGCUCCCCCGUAGCUUGCAACAGCGGGCGGUUUUAGGGAAGUGAGGAAACGGGACAGUGUGAGCGCAGGCCUGGCUUCGUUUCUGUAAAAAUGCCCCCGGGAACUUGGCUGUUUGUAUCGGUGAGCUUUCUUGGCAGCAGUCUCGCGCUAACGUGUCUUGCUUCAUUUGAUGGGUAACAAACAAUCGAGGAUCCCUGCGUUUUUUGAUUGUCAGGGUUUUUUUAAGUAUUUGCCUAUCUGUGGCAAGAGGGGGGCUAGGCGAACGGAGGACCAAACUCGGUCGCGCUGCAAACAGCAGGACACGACUCCCCCGAUCUCGCUCACUGGGCCAUUGCAUGUUUUCCCCUGUGAUUUCAAACCUUCGUCCUGUCUCGGUCGGACCAGGUAACACUUUGGUUACUAGAUUACUCUUUAGUGGUACCUAGCACAUGCAAGGCAAUACAGAAAGCAUCAGUCAGAUGUAGUGAAGCUGCCAGGAUACAUCCGAGCCUUCUGCACAUAGAGAAGAGAUGAGUACGUCCAAAUGAGGCAUUAUAUACUUCUGUCUGUGAGGAAGCUAGAGCAGAGAGGCAGAAAUCACAGCAGCAGACAAGGGAUCCUUGGCUAGGGCUCCAUAGUGCCACAGUAAAGAAAUAGCUGUAUUAAGAAUCAUGCAUAAAUUUAAUACUUUGUGGACUCUCCUCGCCAACUGUCUGAGUUUCACAGCUAUCCUUUUUCUCCUGCUGAAUGGAUGAACUGUUUGUAUGUUCCUUUUGUUAUCUGUAAAAUGAAAAAAAAAAUCUGUAAAAAUCAUUUAUCCUUACAUAGCUUUGUAAAACCGAUACCCUUAGCUGGAGACUUCUCCAUGGCUGAAAAAUACUAUUUUUGUAACAAUCUGUAAGGUAGUCAGAGCAUUGAUGUCCAGGUUAUUUUGAUUGGGAAUCCAAGGAACUUAUCAGGGGAGCUUAUUGCAAAUCUUAAUGAAAUGACUUUCUUCAGUGUAGUUUCCAAAUCUUCAUGGUUUAUGGGAAGCUUAGGCCCAUAGUCAUAUGUAUUAAUGCCCGCAUUGUAACAUAAAAUAAUGCAGAAAAGCUUUUUUCCACUUGGUGGUGCCAGUUGCACGGGAAAACAAAUUCCAGCAGUGGAUCUGCG